GUUCGUCGCCUUUCCAUGGGUCUCGGCAAAGGAGGAAGCCGCCUGACAAAUGAGACCCCACCCCUCUCAUAUGUCCAGGCCGACAUGCGGAAGCCCAAGGCGCUGUAACCGGAGCGACAUGGCACGUUCAUAUCAGGACAAUGAUCCUAAGCUCAAAACGAAGAACACAGGAGUGACUGAAGGACUACUCUCUGAAUGUCCUUGAGUGGCCCAGCCAGAGCCCAGACUUGAACGCAAGUGAACGUCUCCGGAGAGACCUGAAAGGAGCUGUCCACUGACAGGUACCACACAGCCAGACAGCUUGAGAAGCUCUGCUGAAAGAAUAGCAGGAAUUCCCCAAAUAGAGUUCGUCACGUAGGGCUGGGGAAUUAAUCGAAAUUAAUCAAAACUGACAUUCAGAACCUCUAAUCAACGCAAUCUUGCCCAUGUUGGUUACUCCGGCUUUUUUAUAAUUCUGUUAAUACUUUCCCCAGUGUGUGUGCAUACUGUCCCCUUACAAACAUCCUACCACAUGUGACGUCACAUGACUCCGCCCCGUCCAAUCAGCGACAGGGAAGCAGCACGGAGAAGUCAGGAGCCCACAGAACAGCUGGAGUAUGGAGCCUCAGAAGGGACAUGCAGGGGAAAAAGCAUGCAGAUCUUACAAGAAAUACACAAAUGUCAAUUAUGCCUGAGACAUAAAAAGAGAGAAAAUCAGUUAUAAUGAUUAUAAUGAGUUAUAAUGAUUAUCCGCUUAUAGUGAUGAAAUUCACCCAGACAGGCAUGAUCACUAUAAACGGUUUAUUUCGUUUGCAAGAAAUGAAAAAAAAAAAUCUACUUUUUAGGGGAACUUGCUUUUUACAUUAAAACUAAAAUGUGGCCUUUUUUAUGACGUUUUCAUUUGUGCUUUGAUUUCAGUUGCUUGAAAUGAAUAAAUAAAUGUGAUAAAUGCUUCAUCUGUGGGUGAUUCCUUCAAUUA